rnacentral:rRNA from 1 species
GAUGAACGCUAGCGGCAGGCCUAAUACAUGCAAGUCGAACGGGAUUAAGAGGCUUGCUUCUUAUGAGAGUGGCGCACGGGUGCGUAACACGUAUGCAACCUACCUUUAACUGGGGGAUAGCCUUCCGAAAGGAAGAUUAAUACCGCAUAAUAUAAUGGAGUGGCAUCACUUUAUUAUCAAACUAUUUGGGUUAAAGAUGGGCAUGCGUCCGAUUAGCUAGUUGGUACGGUAACGGCGUACCAAGGCGACGAUCGGUAGGGGAUCUGAGAGGAUGGCCCCCCACACUGGUACUGAGACACGGACCAGACUCCUACGGGAGGCAGCAGUAAGGAAUAUUGGUCAAUGGACGGAAGUCUGAACCAGCCAUGCCGCGUGCAGGAAGACGGUCCUCUGGAUUGUAAACUGCUUUUGUUAGGGAAGAAACUUCCGUACGUGUACGGGACUGACGGUACCUAAAGAAUAAGGAUCGGCUAACUCCGUGCCAGCCGCCGCAGUAAAAC